rnacentral:rRNA from 1 species
GCCGGGGGACGCAAGCGUUAUUCGGAAUUAUUGGGCGUAAAGCGCGCGCAGGUGGCUGUUCAAGUCUGCUGUCAAAGACCGGGGCUUAACCCCAGAAAGGCAGUGGAAACUGAACGGCUGGAGUGCAGUAUGGGGAGAGGGAAUUCCCAGUGUAGCGGUGAAAUGCGUAGAGAUUGGGAAGAACACCGGUGGCGAAAGCGCUCUGCUGGACUGCAACUGACACUGAGGGACGAAAGCUAGGGGAGCGAAAGGG